GAUUUCUAUGCAGUUUUAGGAAAGGAUGUUAAACCAAGCGAAAGAACAGAAAAUCAAAAGAUCGGUUUAAAGAAAGUUCCGCUAAGAGCUGAUGGAUACACCACAGAACAAAUUUCAUUUCUAAAU